CGUGGCCUACGGGACGCAGCAGUGGGGAAUAUUGCACAAUGGGGGAAACCCUGAUGCAGCGACGCCGCGUGAGUGAAGAAGUAUUUCGGUAUGUAAAGCUCUAUCAGCAGGGAAGAAAAUGACGGUACCUGAUUAAGAAGCCCCGGCUAACUACGUGCCAGCAGCCGCGGUAAUACGUAGGGGGCAAGCGUUAUCCGGAUUUACUGGUUGUAAAGGGAGCGUAGACGGCAGCACAAGUCUGGAGUGAAAUGCCGCGGCUUAACCCCGGAACUGCUUUGGAAACUGUGCAGCUAGAGUGCAGGAGA
rnacentral:rRNA from 1 species